rnacentral:rRNA from 1 species
GACGAACGCUGGCGGCGUGCUUAACACAUGCAAGUCGAACGAAGUGGCGAACGGGUGAGUAACGCGUAAUCAACCUGCCCUUCAGAGGGGAACAACAGUUGGAAACGACUGCUAAUACCGCAUACUGAAGGAGGGGAUUGCGGCGGAUUAGCUAGUUGGAGGGGUAACGGCCUACCAAGGCGAUGAUCAGUAGCCGGUUCGAGAGGAUGAACGGCCACAUUGGGAACGAGACAACGCCCAGACUCCUACGGGAGGCAGCAGGGGGGAAUCUUCCGAAAUGGACGAAAGUCUGACGGAGCACAGGCGCGUGAGUGAUGACGGCCCUCGGGUUGGAAAGCUCUGUUAAUCGGGACGCGGUACCGGAAUAGAAAGCCACGGCUAACUACGUGCCAGCAGCCGCGGUAAUAC